rnacentral:rRNA from 1 species
UGGGGAAUUUUGCACAAUGGGCGCAAGCCUGAUGCAGCCAUGCCGCGUGUGUGAAGAAGGCCUUCGGGUUGUAAAGCACUUUCAGCGGGGAGGAAGGCGAUAAGGUUAAUAACCUUGUCGAUUGACGUUACCCGCAGAAGAAGCACCGGCUAACUCCGUGCCAGCAGCCGCGGUAAUACGGAGGGUGCAAGCGUUAAUCGGAAUUACUGGGCGUAAAGCGCACGCAGGCGGUCUGUCAAGUCGGAUGUGAAAUCCCCGGGCUUAACCUGGGAACUGCAUUCGAAACUGGCAGGCUAGAGUCGUGUAGAGGGGGGUAGAAUUCCAGGUGUAGCGAUGAAAUGCGUAGGGAUCUGGAGGAAUACCGGUGGCGAAGGCGGCCCCCUGGACAAAGACUGACGCUCAGGUGCGAAAGCGUGGGGAGCAAACAGG